CUGUGAAUAUAAUUCAGGGCAGGGCCUUUUGAAUUCUCUGCCACCAGGGGCCUCAUAUUUCCAAAUAACAUUUCCCAAAAUCCUGUGUUCUCAGUCUCCUGCCCCAGCUCCAUUUCCUUAUGCCAACCAGCAAGCAGCCUUGGUUUCAAUUUAAAUACAAGCUUCUUUCACUUUGCAAAAGUUGCUUAAUACUUGUACUGAAAAUUAAUCUGACUCUGGGAGGCUUCCGAAUGUUACAGAACCUUAACGAAAAUUAUUGACUGUGUCCUCCCAUCAGCUUCACUCAGACCAAUCCCUGGCUGCCAUUCCCCCCGCCAGACAAUCCUGGCAUGAAUCCUAACUAGUCUCUUCUCUGGCCAAACGGGAAAGAGGUGAGAAGUUUGAAUAGCUUUCAGAACUGUAUAUCUUGUAUUUCUCGGUUUGUUAAUGCUUGUACAUCUUGAAGCAAAAUUGCUGUACUUGCAUCCCUUUUGACCAAAUUAAAAUAAACCACUGUGGCUUGCUAUCCACUUGGUAAAUUGGUUUCUUUGACCUGGUCUAUCUGGUUUCUAACAUAUGGGCUCGCCAGGCAUGAAUCCACUUUAGCUAGCAGUCCUAGUUAACCACAACAUGCUCAUGGCUUGAGGUGGAA
rnacentral:lncRNA from 1 species